UGGCCUAGCCUAAGGUGCCAGAGAUAUUUUUGGCUAAAUCUAUCUCUAAAUCGCUUAGAUCCUACAGCAUUCACCAAUUGCUCGUUAACAUGAAUAUUCACAUCCAUAAACAAAUGAUAAAGUCCAUCAAUCAAAAAAGCAUGUACAAUAAUUUUAUUUUCAAAAUAAAUUAUACACAUAUCUUUAUUGAAAUAAAAAUUUAAAUUAUCCUGUGCCAGCACAGAUAUAAAAAUUAAAUUUCUACUGGCUAUAGGUACA
rnacentral:lncRNA from 1 species